UUUCUUCGGGGCGGGGUGCGAUUCCCCACCGGCGGUAUAGCCCGCGAACCGCGAAAGCGGCCGAUUCGGUGAAAUUCCGAAGCCGACGGUUACAGUCCGGAUGAUAGAAGAA
rnacentral:ncRNA from 1 species